UCUCGUUUCCGACAGGACGGGGCGUAGUGAUAAAUCAGGAGUAUAGGUGAAGGGUUUGGGAAGGCCUGCCGUAGACCGUGAUAGCCGGGUAGCUGAAAUGUUUCUGACUGCGUGAUGACAUGCCCGAGUAGCACGGGGCUCGUGGAAUCUCGUGUGAAUCUGCCAAGACCACUUGGUAAGGCUAAAUACCCGUCGUGACCGAUAGUGGAAUAGUACCGUGAGGGAAUGGUGAAAAGUACCCCGGGAGGGGAGUGAAAUAGUGCCUGAAACCAGGCGCCUACAAACUGUCAGAGCCACAUUUGAAUGGUGGUGAUGGCGUGCCUAUUGAAGAAUGAGCCUGCGAGUUAGGAUGUGUGGCGAGGUUAACCCGUGUGGGGUAGUCGUAGCGAAAGCGAGUCUGAAGAGGGCGUUUUUAGUUGCAUGUUCUAGACCCGAAGCGGGGUGAUCUACCCAUGGCCAGGGUGAGGCACGUGUAAGAGCGUGUGGAGGCCCGAACCCACCAGGGUUGAAAACCUGGGGGAUGAGUUGUGGGUAGGGGUGAAAGGCCAAUCAAACUCCGUGAUAGCUGGUUCUCCCCGAAAUGCAUUUAGGUGCAGCGUUGCGUGGUUCUUUGUGGGGGUAGAGCUACUGGUUGGCUGAUGGGCCUUAUCUGGUUACUGACGUCAGCCAAACUCCGAAUACCAUGAAGUUGAGCGUGGCAGUGAGACUGUGGGGGAUAAGCUUCAUAGUCGAGAGGGAAACAGCCCAGAUCGCCGGUUAAGGCCCCUAAGUGUGUGCUAAGUGGGAAAGGAUGUUUAGUUGCUGUGACAACCAGGAGGUUGGCUUAGAAGCAGCCAUCCUUGAAAGAGUGCGUAAUAGCUCACUGGUCAAGUGAUUGAGCGCCGACAAUGUAGCGGGGCUGAAGUACACCGCCGAAACCGCGGCAG
rnacentral:rRNA from 1 species